CCCGGAUAUAGACGAUCCAUGAAUCGGCGUGUGAGAACGUGAGUAGAUUACCUUGAAAACAACGGGCGGACAUCGUGGACGUAUUCUCCAGGUUUUAUUAUAUCUCAGUGGUGCAAACCUGCUUUAGGCACCGUUCUGAAUGUGUGACAUCUGGUAAAUAAGAACUUGAUAAUGAUAUGGGCGGAUAUUUUCUAUGAACUGGUAAAACGACAAUGCACUUCCCCCUCGUCAGUCUAAGACGUGAAUUGGUCCUGGAAACAUGGCUGCCUCCAUGUUCAACCAUUCUGACCUUUAGAAAACACCGGACAGUGAGUUUCCCCUAGGCGUGUGUGAAAUGUGUGUAAAAUCCACAACAAAGUAGGCUAAGGCUAAUGAAUAUGAAGGUAUAGGCUGUCAUAACAGAAUUAUACAUUUUGUUGAACUCCUCCAACGAACCUUAUUGUUCUUAGCAUCGAAUGGCGGAACAAUUCAUAGACUAACAAUUUAUAGCCACAAUCAACGUGCGACUUCCACAUUUGUCACGCCAUGAAAUAGCUGUGUAUACAUUAUCACUGUGUACAUGUUCACACUAUCGCCACUAGUAGCGCUGGUAAGAGGGCCUGUCCAUACGUCUAGGUGAAAGGUCUUUACAAUUACUCUUCAACAAAGUAUACAUUUUUUGUAAACCCAGGCACAAUGUUUCUCGGUAGUUUAUAGGCCUACAGACCACAGCUGUAAUCUACCGUAGAACGCAAACAUCGGAAAACACUAACAACUUUUAAGACGAGGUUAAAUCAGGAGGGGUGCGUCACUUGAGUGGGUUGAGUCACUGGCGUGAUCUUCCUGUCCGGGUUGGCUCCCCCCCUUGGGUUGUGCUGUGGGGGAGAUCUUCGUGGGCUAUACUCGGCCUUGUCUCAGGAUGGACCUGAGCCCUAGGACCAUGCCUCAGGACUACCUGGCCUGAUGUCUCCUUGCUGUCCCCAGUCCACCUGGUCGUGCUGCUGCUCCAGUUUCAACUGUUCUGCCUAUGGAACCCUGACCUGUUCACCGGACGUGCCUACCUGUCCCAGACCUGCUGUUUUGAACUCUCUGGAGACAGCAGGAGCGGUAGAGAUACUCUGAAUGAUCGGCUAUGAAAAGCCAACUGAUAUUUACUCCUGAGGUGCUGGCCUGUUGCACCCUCUACAACCACUGUGAUUAUUAUUAUUUGACCCUGCUGGUCAUCUAUGAACAUUUGAAUAUCUUGGCCAUGUUCUGUUAUGAUCUCCACCCGGCACAGCCAGAAGAGGACUGGCCAACCCUCAUAGCCUGGUUCCUCUCUAGGUUUCUUCCUAGGUUCUGGCCUUUCUAGGGAGUUUUUCCUAGCAAACGUGCUUCUACACCUGCAUUACUUGCUGUUUGGGGUUUUAGGCUGGGUUUCUGUACAGCACUUUGUGACAUCAGCUGAUGUAAGAAGGGCUUUAUAAAUACAUUUGAUUGAUUGGUUGUCCUGUUCACCACAGUCUGAGGUCCUGAGCGCUCUGGAUCAGGUUUUCAUCAAGGAUCUCUCUGUACUUUGCUCCAUUCAUCUUUCCCUCUAUCCUGACUAGUCUCCCAGUCCCUGCUGAUGGUUAAACAUCCCCACAGCAUGAUGCUGCCACCAUCAUGCUUCACCGUAGGGAUGGUGCCAGUUUCCCUCCAGACGUAACGCUUUGCAUUCAGGCCAAAGAGUUCAAUCUUGGUUUCAUCAUACCAGAGAAUCUUGUUUCUCAUAGUCUGAGUCCUUUAUGUGCCUUUUAGCAAAUUUGAAAUGGGCUGUCGUGCUUUUUACUGAGGACUGUCUUCUGUCUGGCAACUCUACCAUAAAGGCCUGAUUGGUGGAGUGCUGCAGAGAUGGUUGUCUUUCUGGAAGAUUCUCCCAUCUCCACAGAGGAGCUCUGUCAGAGUGACCAUCUGUUUCUUGUUCACCUCCUUGACCAAGGCCCUUCUUCCCCGAUUGCUCAGUUUGGCCGGUUGGCCAGCUCUAGGAAGAGUCUUGGUGGUUACACACUUCUUCCAUUUAAGAAUGAUGGAGGCCACUGUGUUCUUGGGGACCUUCAGAGCUGCAGAAAUAAUUUUGGUACCCUUCCCCAGAUCUGUGCCUCAACACAAUCCUGUCUCAAGGCUCUACGGACAAUUCCUUUGACCUCAUAGCUUGGUUUUUGCUCUGACAUGCACUGUCAACUGUGGGACCUUAUAUAGACAGGUGUGUGCCUUUCCAAAUCAUGUCCAAUUAAUUGAAUUUACGACAGGUGGACUCCAAUCAAUGGAAACAGGAUGCACCUGAGGCCAAUUCCGAGUCUCGGGGCAAAGGGUCUGAAUACCUGUGUAAAUAAGGUAUUUCUGUUUUUUAUUUUUAAUACAUUUGAAAAAAUUCAAAAAAACGUUUUUUUGCCUUGUCAUUAUGGGGUAUUGUGUGUAGAUUGAUCAUACAUUUUUAUUUAUUUAAUCAAUUUUAGAAAAUGGCUGUAAAAAGUAAAGGGGUCUGAAUACUUUCCGAAUGCACUGUAUGUGUAAACCUAGCAAUAAUACAAAUAGGCCCUAUUAUACUUUUAAUUUAUUUUUAUUAUUUUACCUUUAUUUAACCAGGUGGCCAGUUGAGAACAACUUCUCAUUUACAACUGUGACCUGGCCAUGAUAAAGCAAAGCAGUGCGACAAAAACAACAACACAGAGUUACACAUGGGAUAAAACAAACGUACAGUCAAUAACACAAUAACAAAAAUCGAUAUAUAGUGUGUGCAAAUGUAGUAAGAUUAGGGAGGUAAGGCAAUAAAUAGGCCAUAGUGGUGAAAUAAUUACAGUUUAGCAUUAACGCUGGAGUGAUAGAUAUGCAGAUGAUGAUGUGCAAGUAGAGAUACUGGGGUGCAAAAGAGAAAGAAUAAAUAUCAAUUUCAAGCUUAAAGUUAGUGAGGGAGAUAUAAGUCUCCAGCUUCAGUGAGUUUUGCAAUUUGUUCCUGUCAUUGGCAGCAGAGAACUUGAAGGAAAGGCGGCCAAAGUAGGAGUUGGCUUUGGGGAUGACCAGUGAAAUAUACCUGCUGGAGUGCGUGCUACGGGUGGGUGUUGCAAUGGUGACCAGUGAGCUGAGAUAAGGCGGGGCUUUACCUAGCAAAGACUUAUAGAUGACCUGGAGCCAGUGGGAUUGGCGACGAAUAUGUAGCGAGGGCCAGCCGACGAGAGCAUACAGGUCGCAGUGGUGGGUAGUAUAUGGGGCUUUGGUGACAUAACGGAUGGCAGUAUGAUAGACUACAUCUAAUUUGUUGAGUAGAGUGUUGGAGGCUAUUUUGUAAAUGACAUUGCCGAAGUCAAGGAUCGGUAGGAUGGUAAGUUUUACGAGGGUAUGUUUGGCAGCGUGAGUGAAGGAGGCGUUGUUGCGAAAUAGGAAGCCAAUUCUAGAUUUAAUUUUGGAUUGGAGAUGCUUAAUGUGAGUCUGGAAGGAGAGUUUACAGUCUAACCAGACACCUAGGUAUUUGUAGUUGUCCACAUAUUCUAAGUCAGAACUGUCCAGAGUAGUGAUGCUAGUCGGGCGGGCGGGUGCCGGCAGCGAUUGGUUGAAGAGCAUGCAUUUAAGAGCAGUUGAAGACCACAGAAGGAGUGUUCUAUGGCAUUGAACCUCGUCUGGAGGUUUGUUAAAAAGAAGGGCCAGAAGUAUACAGAAUGGUGUCGUCUGCGUUGAGGUGGAUCAGAGAAUCACCAGCAGCAAGAGCGACAUCAUUGAUAUAUACAGAGAAAAGAGUCGGCCUGAGAAUUGAACCCUGUGGCACCCCCAGAGAGACUGCCGCAGAGGUCCGGACAACAGGCCCUCCAAUUUGACACACUGAACUCUAUCUGAGAAGAAGUUGGUGAACCAGGCGAGGCAGUCAUUUGAGAAACCAAGGCUGUUGAGUCUGCCAAUAAGAAUGCAGUGAUUGACUUCAAAAUUAAAAUCAAAUUUGCGGCGCCUCCCGAGUGGCGCAGCAGUCUAAGGCACUGGUUUCGAUCCCGGGCUGUAUCACAACUGGACGCGAUCAGGAGUCCCAUUGGGCGGCACACAAUUGGCCCAGCGUCAUUAGGGGAGGGUUUGGCCGGGGGGGCUUUACUUGGCUCAUUGCGCUCUAGCGACUCAUUGUGGCGGGCUGGGCACCUGCUGGCUGACCUCGGUUGUCAGUUGAACGGUGUUCUGACACAUUGGUGCGGCUAGCUUCUGGGUUAAGUGGGCAUUAAGAAGUGCGGUUUCGCGGGUCAUGUUUUGGAGGACUCAUGACUCGACCUUCACCACCUGAGCCCGUUGGGGAGUUGUAGCGAUGAGACAAGAUGAAAAUUGUGGAGAAAAAAUAAAUAAAAUAUUUGAAUAAUAAUAUGCUAGCCUAUACUUGUAACUUUGCAGGCCACAUGUGCUGCACCAGAAUCAUAUGUUCUUUCAGUUUUAUCAUGGUUUGAACAAUGUGCAUAAUUCCAGUCCAUAUAGUACAGUAUAAUACAACACAGUAAUACAGUUCACACUUGUUACAUUCCCCAGUUUCUGUGUUGUGGGUUUGUAUGUAUGUGUAUAUGUUUCAGGAUGGCUUCCUGGAUUCCAAGCAGCUGAUUGGUCUGCCCCAUUGCAGAUUAGAGCUCUGACCCCGCCCUCUCGUCAGCGGAUACAGCUGUCUGCAAUUACCGACUCCUUCUGCAGCUUAAAAAGCCAGUGUUCCUUUGCCAGUUGGAGAGAGAGCUUUUUUUUUUUUUGUAUUAUUUUUUAUAUUUUUAUAUAUAUAUUUUUUUUUAAAUUAUUUUUUUUGCUGUGUUUUUGUGUGUAUUUGCUGUGUUGGUCUGGUAAAGUAUUUUGUAGCCGGUCCUCCAGAGGUAUGUGUUUGCUAUAGUACCUAGUGUUUUUGGUUUAUUCAAAUUGUUCACUGAGUUUGGUGACUUAUUCGGUUUCAUUUGUUCCUGGGGGGGGAAGGGGAAGGCACCUUGGGAGUGUUUAGGCAAGAGGCCUGCGGGCAUACAUAUACCCGUAGUAUGUACUCUGUCUAUGCACACUAGGUAAGACUUGGGUGGACCACCCCUUGUAUUUUGGUUAGCGCGCCAGGUGGUGUUAAGAAUAGGUAGGUAGGAGAGGAGGCUCCUUAACUUUACUUUCAUUGCUUUGGUUCUGUCCAGCCCCAUUUCCCUACAUUUACUGUGUUAAGGAAAUAAAUUCCCUGUUAAUGGUAAUAUUCUCUGCCUCUGUCAUCCUUACCCGCACCAACAAUCACACACCUUUCACUCCACAGG
rnacentral:lncRNA from 1 species